AACCUUAUGGACCUGCGGGCGUAUACCUGCGGAAGGAUCAUUAUCAAAACAGCGGCCUUCGGGCCUUGCUGCACCCUUGUCUUUUGCGCACCGUAUUGUUUCCUCGGCGGGCUUGCCUGCCGGUUGGACAUUAUCAAACCUUUUUGUAGUUGCAAUCAGCGUCAGAAAAACAAUAAUUAUUACAACUUUCAGCAACGGAUCU
rnacentral:misc_RNA from 1 species